rnacentral:lncRNA from 1 species
GCGCUCAGCCCCGCCCCUGGCUCUGCCCCCGCCGCGGAGCGGAACCCUCCAAGUCGCGGCCUGAGGAGGAAGGAAAAGGGGGCGGCCCGGGAGAGCCGCUGCGAAAUCAGCAACGGGCGGGAACCAGGUUGCCUCCCUGAGUCCCUUCUCUCCCCGGCCGGCUGCCAACCACAGCCAAGGCCAGAGAAACAGGCCCUUCUGCCGCGGCCACCUGGGCGCCUUGGACCCGCCCUCCGGACUCGCCCCCGCCCCUGCCGCGGAGUGGAACGUUUGGAACCCUGAGGGGCACAGAUGGCGUCUCUCUCUGUUGCCCAGACUGGAGUACAAUGGUGUGAUUUCGGCUUACUGCAACCUCUGCCUCCCAGGAUCAAGCGAUUAUCCUGCCUCAGCCUCCUGAGUAGCUGGGACUACAGCUCCUCUAGCAAUUCCGAUGUGAAAAGAAGAUGGAUGGAGAAGCACUGAUUCAGCCAUGGCUGACAUGUCGGAGUUGGAAUGGACAGUGCCCGGACCUCACAGUCUCAGAGAACUGGAGAAGAGUAAAGCUGAAGAGGGCAUCAUCUGGUUACAAAUGACAAGUCCAGGGCUCCAGAACUCAGGCCAUGUAGAGAGGCCACAUGGGAACUGAGGUUCCUAGUCCUCAGCUUCCACUGAGCUCCCAGCCAACAGCCAGCAAUAACUUGCCAGAUGUGUGCACAGGCCAUCCUGGAAGCAGAGGAUCCAGCCCUCAGCCAAGAUGCCCCAGUUGAUUCCAUGUGAACUAGGAAUGAGCCCUCCUGCUGAGCUCUGCCCAAAUUACAGAUCUGUGAGCAAACUAAAUGACAGUUGUAUUAAGCUACACAGAAAUAGAUAACUGGAAUACCACCCAUGUCUUUCUUUCCAAACUUAGUUAACUGAGUCUGAGCUAAAGAGAAUUCACACUGUAUAUCUUAUAUUGAAUACCCACUAUAUCUGGGGCAUGAUUGCUAAUAAUCCUCACAAUAGCCCUACAAUAGGAAACGAUCAUCCUCAUUUCACAGAUGGAGAGUUUAAUGGUAAGCCUGAACUCAGACUCAGACUUGUUUGACUUGAGAGCCCAUACCUCUUUCACUAAGCCAUACCAUCUCCAUUCACUCUAUGCUGUCUGGCCACCUGAGAGGCUGUCUGUAAGUCUAUCUCCUUAUUAACCCAUCAUUCCUGCUACUUCCAUGAUAAUCGGCAAGGCUGAAUGAUAGCUCUCAGUUCUAUGGGGUCUUUCCAGGAGAAGGGCCAAAGAGGAGUGGUUGAUCACAAAGUCAUCGGCACAAAAAGAUGGUGGCCAAGCUACAGUCCUGCAUGGCACAUGAGCCAGAUGAUCAAGUAAUGAAAGCUAUGCUAAGAAAUGUGGGCUUUAUCUUGUGGAGAAGGAGAUGCAGUAGAGGCUUUUUAAGGUACAUUUCAGAACAAUUAUUAUUUUUAUAUUUAUUAUAUAUUAUUUAUAUAUAUAAAACCACAAAUUAUAUGCUACAUAUAUACAUAUGUUUUUAUGUCUAUAUAUAAACACAUAUAUACGUUUAUAUAUAUAUACAUAUGUAUAUACAACACAUAAAAUUUACCAUCUUAACCUUUUUUUUUUCCAAGAUGGAGUCUCAUUCUGUUGCCCUGGCUGGAGUGCAGUGACACGAUCUCGGCUCACUGCAACCUACACCUCCCAGGUUCAAACAAUUCUCAUGCCUCAGCCUCCCUAGUAGCUGGGAUUACAGGCGCCCACCACCAUGCUCAGCUCAGCUAAUUUUUGUAUUUUUAGUAGAGACAGGGUUUCACCAUAUUGGCCAGGCUAGUUUCGAACUCCUGACCUCAGGUGAUCCGCUUGCCUCGGCCUCCCAAAGUGCUGGGAUUACAGGCAUGAGCCACUGCACCCGGCCUCAUCUUAACCAUUUUUAAGUGUACAGUUUGGUUGCAUUAAGUAUGUCCACAUGUUUAUGCAACCAUCACCACCUUCUCUUUUUAGAACUUCUGCAUCUUCCCAAACCAAAACCCCAUACCUAUUAAACAAUAACUCCCCAUUCUCCCUUCCCCCUUGCCCCUGUUCCUGACACAGAACAAUAUUUUUUGUAUAACUAUGAAAUAAAUGAAGGAAAUCUGAAGUGGGAAGGCCAGAGAGUAAGCUACAGGGGUACAUUGGGCAAGACACGAUGAGGACUUGAACCCAUGCUUGGGAAGCUGGCAUGAAAAGAGAGGUUCAACAGAUCCUACUAAGGUAAAAGUGAGAGGAUUUUGCGGGGCGGAGGGGGGGUCACUGGGAUGUGGGAGUGAGGAAGAAACAGGAAUCGGCCUGCCAGCAGUUAAUCUAUCGAACUCCCAUAGUCCACGUGACCCUGUCCUGCACCCCUAAAGAAGGCAGUGUGGCAGGUAGGUUAAGAGCCUAGACUCCAAAGACCAGGACGGCCUAGGUCCAAAUCCUGGCUCUGCCAUUUGCUAACUAUGUAACUUUGACCACUUACUUAACCCAUCUGCACUUCAGUUUCCCAGGUGAAAAACAGGCACGAAGAUAAGUGUAACAGGACAUACUUCAUAGGUACUACUGUUAAAGUAUUGAGAAGAAUACACAGUAAAUACUGCUCAAGUCAGUAGUUAAUACAAUGACUGUAUUAGUCCGUUUUCACGCUCUGAUAAAGACAUACCCAAGACUGGGUAAUUUAUAAAGGAAAGAGGUUUAAUUUACUCACAUUUCCACAUGGCUGGGGAGGCCUCACAAUCAUGGUGGAAGAGGAAGGAAGAGCAAAGGGAUGUCUUAUAUGGCAGCGGGCAAAAGAGAGAGCCAAGUGAAAGGGGGAAAUCUCUUAUAAAAACAUCAGAUCUCAUGAAACUUAUUUGCUACCACAAGAACAGUAUGGGGGAAACCGCUCCCGUUAUUCAAUUAUCUCCCACCGGGUCCCUCCUACAACAUGUAAGAAUUAUGGGAGCUGCAAUUCAAGAUGAGAUUUGGGUGGGAAUACAGCCAAACCAUAUCAAGGAUGCGCUCUCUAUUCUUCACUUUCCCAGUGACUUAUCUAAAAAUGAUUUCUCCCUUCUACGUGCAAGACUUCCACUCCAGUUUCUUUUCUCCUUAUAUUAUUUGCUUCCAGUUUCUAAAAUAUCCUUGGGAUCACUUUGAGAACAUGGGAGGAGAGAAGCAGAGGGCUUCAGGAAAUCUGAUGACCAUAACUUACGUUUUAUAAGUUCUUGUACAAAGUCAAGAACAGGUGAAAUUUCCAGGAAGAAUGUAGAAGACACAGUUAAUCAUGAUGUUAUUGGGUUGCCCUUAAGUGGGAUGCAUGGUCUCCCUAGGGGUCACAGGCUGGCUUCUAAAAAGUAACUAAUUUUUUUCUGAUUACAAUCAUAAUGUGGGUUUAUGUGGGAAGAAUUCUAAGCCACAGAAAAAUAUAAGGAAAAACUUGAAAAGUACUCCUAAUCUUACCACUCAAAGAUAACGUUAGCUGGCUGCAAGGAUCUUCAGAAUUCUCUAGGCCAGUUGCAGAACUGAAACAACAAAACAGAGCCUUGGGAGAUGUUAGCUUCAUGUUUUAUUUAGAAGUAUUAGCAGAUAGAAAAUUGAGCUCAUUAGCAUGCUAGCAUGUGUGGUGGCUCCAUAAUGCAUCAUCUUCGUUAGACCAACUACAUUUCCCAAAAUUCCCUUUCUUGCAUGUUUCUAAUUAACGUGGGACAGAAGAGAGUUUCCUGUGGGAGAUCUGGGCAGAUGUGGGCAGCAGCCAUGUUGUAGCUCACAUAGGUUGGCAAUGAUCAGUUGCCUCAUCUUAUUAGGACCAGGGAGGUGCGGGGCCUGUAACUGCUCCACCUUCUCCUGGGUUUUCCUUUUCAGCUUCUUCGGCUCCUUGGCCAUGUGUGUACUUUAUGAUGAAGCGCCCAGCUUCUGCAGGAUAUCCAUACUGCCAAGGUCAAAAGCAACAAUAAGCGACGUGGGGCUCAGUCUGUUCUCGUGGGCUACAAUGCAUGCUUCUGGUUUCCAGGUUGUUCUUGCUCUCCCUUAUUUUACAUUUAUCCUUCCUUCCCAACUGCCUGUCCGAUAGAUGUCGAGUCCCAACAUCAGAUGUGAAGAUGAGAGCUUUAUAGAGACUGCUUAACCAGCUCCCACAGUUGUAUUAGGACAAAUCCCUGUAGCAAAUCCCUUUGUGUGUGUGUGUGUGUGUGUGUGUGUGUGUAUGUGUGUGUGUGUGCGCGCGCACGCGCGUGCACGCACCUUAGUGGUUCUCCUGUGAUUGAAUCCUGACUUACACAGUUUGAGAUAGAAACCUUCUGAAGCAAUUAGAUUAAAUGGUCUAUAACUGUGCUGUCCAACAUGGUAGCCAUUAGCUACAUGUGGCUAUUUAAAUUUAAAUUAAUUAAAGUUAAACAUAAUUAGAAUUUAGUACCCCAGUCAAGUUUCAAGUGCUCAAUACUGUGGUCACAUGUGGCUGGUGGCCACUGUUUUGGGCAGCACAGAUAUAGAGCACUUCCGUUAUUGCAAAAAAAUGUUCUAUGAGCACUGGUCUAUAGUGAUAAUUACUAGUAUUUACUGAGUUCUCACCAUGUGUCAGAUGCAGAUUCCAAGUUUGCUCUGGAGAGCACGAUGCGGCAGGCAAACGGGGAAAGAGAGAGAGUGAUGGGAAUCAGGUGGGAGAUUUUUUUUUUUUUUUUUGAGAUGGAGUCUCUCUCACUCUGUCACCCAGGCUGGAGUGCAGUGGCACAAUAUCGGAUCACUGCAACCUCCGCCUCCCAGGUUCAAGUGAUUCUCCUGCCUCAGUCUCCCAAGUAGCCAGGAUUACAGACUUGUACCACCACGCCUGGCUAAGUUUUGUAUUUUUAGUAGAGACAGGGUUUCACCAUGUUGGCCAGGCUGGUCUCGAACCCCUGACCUCAGGUGAUCCACCCUCCUUGACCUUCCAAAGUGCUGAGAUUACAGGUGUGAGCCAUUGCACCUGGCCAGGUGGGAGAUUUUUAAUGACCAGGCCUGGAGGUGGCACACAUCACUUAUACCCACAUCCAUUGGCCAGCACUCAGUUACACGGCCACUUCUAACUACAAGGGAGGUUGGGAAAUGUAGCCUAGCUGUGUGCUGAGGAAGAAAAAGUAAAAGCUUUGGUGCCAGCCAGUCUCUGCCACAUCAGAUUUAAUUUGAGCGCUGUGAAGUAAUUAAUGCCCAUUAAACUAAGGGUGGGACAAGAUUAAUGCUAAAAUCACUCUCCCCAGCCACCAUUUUCUCUCUUGUUCUUUGUCAUGAUAUUGACAAGGUCAAAAGUCAGGCAGUCAGCAUGAACCCGAGGAGGAGAAGUCCUUGCCACUUUGAGGCUGAAUAUGAACAGCCCCUUCUUUAUGACUCACCCUAUCAGCUUUGCUCCUAGCGAAUGUUCAUAUCGUGGUUCUCCGGGACCCUUGAAAGUGGGACUCCUAUGUGAGGAACUAGUUCUAUAAACAACUACAUGCUAGUAAAAAACCAUUAAGAGGGUUGGAAUUAGGCAUAGUCCUGCUGCAUAGAAAUCCUACUUAGUUGGAAAAAUUGUAUUUUUAAGUUGCCUCUGUUUUGAAGCCACGUUAACCCUUAACCUUCAGAAAAUCCUUAGCCAGCCUUUAUACAUUGGUAGCUCCUGUUCUAAUAAUGUCUUCUCCUCCUAUUUUCUUUGGCUUGUCAUGAGCUUUGAAAGUUUGAUCUGAGAUCCCUCACUUUUAAUAAUCUGUAACUCUGAUUUGGUAAUCUCCUACAUAUGAAUAAAAUGUCUGUGUUCAUUUAUUUCUAAUGAAUAAAUGAACAUGCCUGCUGAGCCAAGCCUUAAAUGUGAUUAAGGAGACUGACUUGGGUUCAGAUCCUGGCUCUGCCUUGAGUAAGUUUCUAACAUUCCUCUGCUUGUAUUUCCUUAUCUGUAAAAUGGGAGUGAUUUCUUUGAAUGAAAUUAUAUUACAUUUAUCAAGCAUUUUAUCACAGUUUCAACAAUAAGGUGUAAUUAUUAUUAAUUCAGACUAUAUGAUUCUGUGCCCUUGGAUAAAGUUUACCAUUAUAUAAUAAACUACUUUUCUCACUUAAUGCAAACAAUGUGGUAUCAGUAAUUUGUAGAGGGCAUUUUAAAAAAUCAUGAAGAUGGUUUCUUCCAGGAUUUACAUGCAUGAGAUUUCCAUUCUGACUAUAAAACAUUCUUAUUUAUUCACUAACACUAGGUUAGUGAGAAUGUCUGUUAGAACACUGUGCUCAUCUAAUUCAAGUUUCCAUAGUUUAGGAUCAUCAUAGGAAGGCACCUCCUACAAAGAUCAUGGGGUUCCAUCCCUUCGUAUUACACAUCAGGAAACUGAAGUUCAUAGAAAUCCACUUCAGAGGUAAAGGAGACUUGAAGAUGACCUAGUGCAAUACUGUACGUUUUGCAAAGGUAGUCAUUUAGACGGUACUUUCAUCAUUUCAAAAAUCGCUUAUUUAUCCACAAUAGGCUGCACACACAAAAAUUAGAGUGUGAGGCUGAGGCUGGGUGCGAUGACUCACGCCUGUAAUCCCAGUGCUUUGGGAGG